rnacentral:lncRNA from 1 species
CUUAACUACCUGGGAAUGUAGCCCAUUAGGUCUCAGCCUUAUUUUACCCAGUCACUAUUCAAGAUGGAGUCACUCUAGUUUGAAUGCCUCUGACAGUAAUGAAGAAGUAAACUCCGAGACAGCACAUGACUUCCCUCUGAUGACGUAAGGUUGCUGGGAGGACCAGCUCACUGACAGAUUAAAGUUACCAAGUUGAAGUGAUGAGCUUGAAUCCUUCUGCAGUCACACGUUUGGCCUAGCAGAGGUUGAAAUUUUUAAAAAAUGAAAUAGAACCACAAAGAAAAUAUCAGAACACAUUGCACUUAGUAAAGAACAAGGGGGAGUCUCCCUGCACAAGCUCUCUCUCUUUGCCUGCUGUCAUCCACCUAAGAUGUAACUUGCUCCUCCUUGCCUUCCACCAUGAUUGUGAGGCUUCCCCAGCCACGUGGAACUAAUGAGGCAGAAGUUACACUGUGCCAGUUUGGGCCCAGCUCUUCACAGGCCUGGCAGCUUCCACUUUUGCUCUCUUAAAAUCCAGCUUUCCUGCUGAAGAGGCUGCGUGGGGAAGAAUCCUGGAAAAUGACAGGACACCUUGAACAUUCAAGCCCUAGGUGAGCAGUCAGCUGAGUGCAACCACAUGAAGGAUCAUAGCUGACACAACCUAGUGCUGAGAAGAACUGGCCCUGCUGAGCCCUGACCAAAUUGUAGAAUUAUGAGCAAACACAUGGUAGCUUUAAGCCACAAAGUUUGAGGGUGUUUUCUUUUGUAAUAAUAAACAUUUGCUCUACUAUACA